rnacentral:tRNA from 2 species
GUAUCUAUAGUAUAACCAAUACAUUAACUUUUCAUGUUAAUAAUACACAUAAGUGUUAGAUACA